rnacentral:tRNA from 1 species
GGGGGGAUAAACUAUAUAUAACAAGUUUUUGGGCUCAUAAUCCAAGCAAAGGGACCACUCCCUUCCCCCUG